rnacentral:lncRNA from 1 species
GACUCCCUGGGUGAGCCGUGGCCACGGAAUCCUGCGGCGUGGAGCUCCGGGGAAAAGUCAGUCACCAUGGACCUGCGUCAGUUUCUUAUGUGCCUGUCCCUGUGCACGGCCUUUGCUUUGAGCAAGCCUACAGAAAAGAAGGACCGAGUACACCAUGAACCUCAGCUCAGCGACAAAGUUCACAACGAUGCUCAGAAUUUUGACUAUGACCAUGAUGCCUUCUUGGGAGCAGAAGAGGCAAAGAGUUUUGAUCAGCUGACACCAGAAGAGAGCAAGGAAAGGCUUGGAUGAUCCAGACCCUGAUGAUGGAUUUAAUUAUAAACAGAUGAUGGUUAGAGAUGAGCGGAGGUUCAAAAUGGCAGACAAAG